rnacentral:rRNA from 1 species
AUUGAACGCUGGCGGCAUGCUUUACACAUGCAAGUCGAACGGUAACAGGGUGCUUGCACCGCUGAUGAGUGGCGAACGGGUGAGUAAUGCGUCGGAACGUGCCGAGUAGUGGGGGAUAACGCAGCGAAAGUUGUGCUAAUACCGCAUACGUACUGAGGUAGAAAGUGGGGGACCUUCGGGCCUCACGCUAUUCGAGCGGCCGACGUCUGAUUAGCUAGUAGGUGAGGUAAAGGCUCACCUAGGCGACGAUCAGUAGCGGGUCUGAGAGGAUGAUCCGCCACACUGGGACUGAGACACGGCCCAGACUCCUACGGGAGGCAGCAGUGGGGAAUUUUGGACAAUGGGCGAAAGCCUAAUCCAGCCAUGCCGCGUGUCUGAAGAAGGCCUUCGGGUUGUAAAGGACUUUUGUCAGGGAGGAAAUCCCUAGUGCUAAUAACACUGGGGGAUGACAGUACCUGAAGAAUAAGCACCGGCUAACUACGUGCCAGCCGCCGCUGUAA